AACAGGUGCGGUCGCGGCCCCCGGGGGCUUGCUCCCGGGUGGUAGGGGAAACACCCUCACGCGCCGCCUGCCUGUACCCUCUUUUUACGAGCACCUUUCGUUCUCCUUCGGCGGGGCAACCUGCCGCUGGAACCAAAACAAAACCUUUUUUGCAUCUAGCAUUACCUGUUCUGAUACAAAUAAUCGUUACAACUUUCAACAAUGGAUCUCUUGGCUCUGGCAUCGAUGAAGAACGCAGCGAAAUGCGAUAAGUAGUGUGAAUUGCAGAAUUCAGUGAAUCAUCGAAUCUUUGAACGCACAUUGCGCCCCUUGGUAUUCCAUGGGGCAUGCCUGUUCGAGCGUCAUCUACACCCUCAAGCUCUGCUUGGUGUUGGGCGUCUGUCCCGCCUCUGCGCGCGGACUCGCCCCAAAUUCAUUGGCAGCGGUCUUUGCCUCCUCUCGCGCAGCACAAUUGCGUCUGCGGGGGGGCGUGGCCCGCGUCCACGAAGCAACAUUACCGUCUUUGACCUCGGAUCAGGUAGGGAUACCCGCUGAACUUAAGCAUAUCAAUAAGCGGAGGA
rnacentral:rRNA from 1 species